GCACAUAUACCACGAGCAUCACAAGAUAUGUCAACAUACAUAUAGUCAUUAUCCAAAAUAGUCCAUACUUAGCAUCUCAUGCAUUCUUUUAGCAUUUAAUUUAUUAUGCAUCUCAUCUCAUUGGUAAGUAAUCUCAACUACAUAGUAUGUUUCAAGCAUUCAUAUCAUUAUGUAAGCCUACCAAUACAACUAUAUGCAUCAAUUAGAAAACCAUUACUCUUAGACAUAUAGGCGACCUAGUCGCUUCGGUGAGCACAACCCACCUCAUUUCGCAUUCCGAUUGCUUGUCGACACUUGCAAUCAGCCUCCAGCGGCACCCGGCACCCGGUUUGACCCGAUCUCUCGCGCGACCACCCGAACGGCCUCCAAUUCACGAUCCGAAAAUUAAAGGUCUUCGGUUAUGUGCCACGAUGCUUCAAAUCCGUUUUUAUGAGGUUACGAUAUCGCCUCGGCCCUCCAGGCGAAAACGAAGCCUAAACGUCUGUUUCUUUAAUAACUUCGCAACGACUCCACGAAUCGCCGAACCGACUUCGCCAACGCGUUCGUUUACCUAGCAAUUAAGUUUACGAAGGGUCAAAUUAGAUCAAACCUCCAUAUUUUACAAAACUCCAUUUUUGAGCCCUAACAUGAAUUAACCUCCAAAUAAUCCAAAUUAAAUGGAGCAAUAUGCUAACAAUGCUCAUUAGAGGCUAUUAGAACACUUAAAGCUAAGGAUUAAGCCAAAUUCCAAAAGCUUACUACAAUGUGAACGCCGCGACGAAAACACGCCGCUCCAACGGGCGCACGAAAGCUCGAUCCGUCGCUCCCAACGCGUUCGCGAGCAUCUUCUCCACCAACGCCGCGAAUUUGAGCGAGAGAUUUGGAGAGAUAAGAGAGAAAUCUACAGAGAGAAGGGAGGGUUUUUCCUCUCCCUCCAUGCGUGCGUGAGUGGUAGGGUGGGCUGGUCGGUUGAGGAAGAAGAAGCAUCAGCUUCUUUAAUAACUACACCCUUCAACACUAUUCACUCCAGGGCAGUUUAGCAGUUCGGAACAGUUGGAGCCCUUCUGAGUGUCCGUUUGAGCUCAAAUUUGACAGGCAGGCUCGGUUUAAUGUACUGAGUAAGAAUAUAUCUUAAGUUUUCAGUUUCGACCCCGUUUGAUCACUGAAAACUGUACCGAACUGUAAUCUUUAUCAGAUAACUGUCGGAUUUUAUUUCUCACUUUCCGGGUGUCAGAAAAAUAUGAAACUUUAAAUCUAGUCUCAUAAAAAUAUUUCUGACCUAUCCUCCAAUUUUCAUAAUUUUCUGAGACUAUACAUUUUCUGCUAAUUUAUCUGUCCCGUUUCUAACAGAAAAUUUUAGAUCUCCUGUUUUCAUUCUGAUCUCAGCACAGGUCAUUUCUGACUUAUGUUUUACUCUUCUAAAUCCAAUAAAAAUAGUAUCACACACUAUUUUUAUUUAUUUUUAUUUUUAUACCAAAAUCUGGUAUGUUACAUUCUCCACCCCUUAAAAAGAAUUUUGUCCGCGAAAUUCAAAUCACGGCUCAAUUCAUCUCCGCGAACAAUUGAGGGUACCAACUCAUUCUUCCACUCCAAAGCGGCUCCACACCAUCGUGUUUCUAAAAGCGGCUCACUCCAAAGGACAUAGGUUUAAUAUUAAACUCAUUUGCAAAGUGUGAUGCAAGAGUGCAUCACGGUCUUGCAAGUCAUAGUGGCAGCGCAAGUCGGUACUCAACGACUCUACGCGCUCCAACACCACUCGUCAUUCGGUACGCAAAAAACUCUUCUUUGCACUGGCUUUCCCCUUAGGGAAUGCCUCCCAAUUCGAUCACCGACAUUGCUUAAAAGCAAUAUCACCGGUGCAUCGCUCCGUCGCGAGUGCUCUAAAUUCGCAUUGACCCUCAACUUUAACGUGAGAUGGCCUAUCUUAGCACAUCCCCAAUUCCAAUCCUCCAACUCCACGUGGUUUACUACUAGCUCAAGGUCUCACCAAGAGCACUUCAUCUUCUGAUACCAUAUGCCACGGUCAACAUCGAACUAUUUUCGCAACGAGCUCAUGCGAGCGCCUUGUUUGUGAAUUCGAGCCAAACUCCUCGAUAAGGCUAUCCGCCAAAUCGCUCUCUUCGGUCUCCACAGGUGGACCAAAGGCCACCAAUCCUACGUAGGCCUACCGCUUAAACCUGUCUCAAUACGCAGCGUCUCUCGCUCGCAAAUGCAGACCUAAUCAUGAUCGGGCGAAAUUCUCACUUGGGAAUUCGCACAUACUCCAACCAGGAGCAACUAAAAUCCCAAACCGUUACAGAUUCCCGGGUUGGGUCACACUCGUACUCUCGGUAUACUAUCAAUCGCACGACAUGCUCUACCGAGCCACAAGUACCACUAUCGGCUACUAUGCACCUAACGCGAGUCGCCAGUCCCACGAGUGGUCCAUGGCACGCUUCACACCUAGCAUUGCUCAAGUGCUACUGCCAACUCACUCACUCGGCUGAACCCAGUUCACACUCCACGCGUAACUCUACUCGAACGUCACACGCCUCUAUAGCGCUCCACAGUAAGUCCAGCAUUAUGCAACUCUUGCCUACACUCGCCGACUUCACAAGCACGACCCUACUACCUCACAUCGGGGUACUACUAGGCCCACGUGCUAGCACUUGGCCACUAACCAAUUGUUUCGUCAACAGUGAUUCACUUUCGCUGUUAGACCCAUCAGAACGACAUCCGAAAUACUCGGACUACUCGGGUGUCCUUAAAUAUCACAGCUCAACUCUCGCAAUCUACUAAUUAAGUUGUUUUGAGAGUCGAUUAGCCACCUCUAUCUCUACCGCGAGUUUCACUUCUCGCCAAAGGUCACUACUAGCACUUCGUUAGUGCCAUCUGGCUCUAUACCUAUACUGGCAGGUACUACGCCCUCACAACACGAGCAUGCCCGGGUAUCUAUACUCACCCGUCCACUCGGUCUUCACUAUGCUCAUGCAUGGCAAUAGUAAUUAACCACAUAACCAUUGCAUGCAAUGCAUCAACUUCACAUCAUGCAAAACAUACAUUUGCAUCAAUAACUCAUACCUGCAACGACGUCGUCAGCAACAGGGUCCUCAACCUGGGUUGCGUAUCUACGGCCACCUGGCGCUCGCCGCGAACCUUUAGGUUGCAUUGUCCUCAACGCCCUCUCUCCCGACCAUGCCGCAGAUGGCACACCUGCAGGCCAUCCUAGAGAGAAAUAGGCUGUCGCCAGUGUCAGGCCCCGGCUGUCACUUUGCGGACACUCGUCCCGCGCACAGCCCGAUUGCCCACACCUGUAGCACUUGCCCUCUCACAGCUCGCAAUACUGUGGGUAACGAAAACACCCACAUACGACAUAUCUCACUAAGGACCGAAUACAGUAGGUCCCCGGAACUCGGAAUCACGAGCACGAACACAUUGCACUCACUUGAGAACUUGACGGACCAUCGAAUCCACUCGUUGGCCGUUCUAUUUCCCUUUUCCUUACAAUUGGACUCAUGCUCCCCUCGCACAAUUGCACUGCCUUAUUCUAUCCACAAGGCCUAAUCCUCAAACCUCCUCUAAUCCUCCUAUUUAGAAAAGCUCCUGGAGAGUGAGAGAAGAAAGAACAUGGAGUUGAAGGGGUACUCCUUGCUGUGAACAAGGAAAGAAGAGGUGUAGGGUUUAUACAAACCGCCACAACUGCAUUUAAACCCCCCCAGCAUUUCUCAUUUGCAGUAGAUCUCAACCUGCUGCCAGACCCAUUGUGUACCGGUACACGGGCUUUUGUACCGGUACAAAGCUGUGCAGAGGCAAACCCGAGAGCAACCUCCUCGGAUUUUACCAAAGGGUACCGGUACAAACCAGAGGUGUACCGGUACACUUCUGCAAAAACUUAAACCCGAGAGCAAUGCUCUUCUCGGGUUGCAGGGCUGUACCGGUGACAACAUGAUGGUUGUACCGGUACACUUUGCCCAGAAUGCUGGUUUUGAGCCGUUUUCGAUUCUAUUUCGCGACGGUCGAUGCUAAAACCUUCUUACCUCCUUUGAAACUCAUUUUUAACCCUUCCAACGUCGUUGAAAUGUCAAUUGGACUUUGUCCAACUAUUUCUCUCAACGCACUUUGGUCAAUUUGACUAAAGUUUGAUGUUUAUUUACCAAAAUUUCGGUACGUUACAUUCUCCCUUCCUAAAAGGAGUUUCGUUCUCAUUAUCCCGCACUAUGUCCAGGAUGCAAUUCACGACACGGGAGAAUUCCCGCUCGUAUUCCCUCACGGCGCGGUCUACCUGCCGCAGCUUCGAGAACCUUUCCUGAAGCUUUCUUUUCCAUCAUCAAGGGAGUAAACCGAGAAUACCGAUCCCCGAAACUCAUCCCAAACCACAGGAGGGAGACCAGGUAGUCGAUUCCACUCGACGCCUAUCCACCACAUCUUCGUCGCGACUCCCGGCCGUACUUAACGAGCCGUAACUGGUGCGAUCACUACUGAUCCCCCAACUCUUGGAGUCUCUUAACUCGCUCCUCCCGGCAUAUGGCAGCCUUCUGCUGACACUGCAUAAAUUCGGCUCAUUACCCCGCCACACACACGAGAGUGGCCAAUCACUCGCGAAAUCUCAAGUCUCCGCUCGUCUCAAAUUGCCCAGGGUCACCACUUGGCCCAUCCCACGCCGAUCUAAACGAAGAUCGCCGACGCAGUGUUAUCGCUUCCUAAAACGCGACAACUUUAUUAAUCCUCGACCUUCUAGGUCGAACACGAGACACUUAAUACCGACUCAAAUCGGGCGAAAGUUACACAAGGGCGUCUAUUCUCAUGACUCGGUUUCAUGUUGUGCGCGCCCAACAUGAACACCCUUUGUUGAGAAUAAACCUCUCCUUGAGUCUAGUCUACCUCAAACAUCCGCUUUAGAAGUUUACGACACAAUCCAAUCGAUUAACCUUUCGCCAAAAGGUACAAAUUCUCAUCUUUCACGAGCCUUAAUCUCCUAUGGUUUACUAUCCUAGGGUCUUCUAGAUCCAACUAAACCAUUUCUAUUAUUAUUUUUAUAUUCUUUUUAUUCUUUGAUACCAUCUUAUCUGUCACGCCCCGAGCCCGCAUAUUUGGCCGGUUUCGGGCACGCCGACAGACCGCCGAACGGACAGGGUUUCUCCGGUACCGUGGACAGAGUCUCCCCUAUACGUCCAAGGCGUCGCAAUUGAUACAAUGUACGAAGUUCCAACUAGAAACACAUUUCGAUCAAAAAUUGCAUAAGGAAGUAUCAAAAGCAUAAUCUAGUUGCUAUUACGAGCAUUCACAUUCACUAGAUACAUUUUACAUCACAAAUACUUAUUACAUUUAACUUCCAAAUACAAUCAAGAUUGUUACAACAUUGUUUAUUCUUUCCUUUUCUUUUCUUCUACAACCCUAGCUAGGCUGACUCGGGGUACCGCUAUCUCUGAUCUCGGUGGUAGGGCGCAAUCUAUGGAGCUACGCCCUCUCCUCACGCCGCCGCGCCGCUGACGUGGGAACCUGUACCCCCAAAAAUAACACGGGGGUGAGAACUAUAUGAAUAUAGUUCCCAGUGGGUACGACCACCCAAGGGAAGAGCUCGACCCACAUGUCCAAGGAGGCACUGCAACAUGUUAGUCCAACAAAUAUCCAACAGAUAUAUAUAUAUAUAUGCGAUAAUUGAAAUACAUGUCAUGCCUCACAACCAUGCAAUAUGAAAAUCAUGCGAUUUAUGCAACCAAUUAGUAGUUCAAUCGAUACUACUUUAAUCCUGCUAUUCAAAACUCAUUCUAUUGACUUCGAAAUUAUUCCGCUAUUUUAAAUUCAUAUCAAUUACAAUUCUGAUCAUAUGGUCUCAUUUACCUUUAUCAACUAUCCACCUGACUCGGUCUCGAGUCAAUCAUUCGCAGAGUAACGCGUAAAGCCGAGCUCGAGGCGAAGAACGU
rnacentral:lncRNA from 1 species